AUGGCGACGACGGCCACGGGGUACGGCUGCUCGGCGGCGCUGUCUCAAUCUCAUCCAACUUUGACCAAGUUUAUACAAAAAAUUAUAGACAUUCACAUAACAACACCAAUAUCAUUAGAUUCUUCUUGGAAUGAAGCUAGUUUUGAUAUAAAGCUGCCUAGAAGAAGCUUGCUUGUUCAGUUUACAUGUAAUAAAUGUGACGCAAGGACAAAACGUUUGAUAAACAGGGUGGCCUAUGAAAGAGGAACAGUUUUUCUUCAGUGCGCAGGGUGCCAAGUGUAUCACAAGUUUGUUGACAAUCUUGGUCUAAUUGUCGAGUAUGACCUACGAGAAGAAAAUGGGGUGAACACUUGUACUGAAGACUGA
rnacentral:rRNA from 1 species